GCGGAGGGAUCAUUACCGAGUUUACAACUCCCAAACCCCUGUGAACAUACCAAUUGUUGCCUCGGCGGAUCAGCCCGCUCCCGGUAAAACGGGACGGCCCGCCAGAGGACCCCUAAACUCUGUUUCUAUAUGUAACUUCUGAGUAAAACCAUAAAUAAAUCAAAACUUUCAACAACGGAUCUCUUGGUUCUGGCAUCGAUGAAGAACGCAGCAAAAUGCGAUAAGUAAUGUGAAUUGCAGAAUUCAGUGAAUCAUCGAAUCUUUGAACGCACAUUGCGCCCGCCAGUAUUCUGGCGGGCAUGCCUGUUCGAGCGUCAUUUCAACCCUCAAGCCCCCGGGUUUGGUGUUGGGGAUCGGCGAGCCCUUGCGGCAAGCCGGCCCCGAAAUCUAGUGGCGGUCUCGCUGCAGCUUCCAUUGCGUAGUAGUAAAACCCUCGCAACUGGUACGCGGCGCGGCCAAGCCGUUAAACCCCCAACUUCUGAAUGUUGACCUCGGAUCAGGUAGGAAUACCCGCUGAACUUAAGCAUAUCAAA
rnacentral:rRNA from 1 species